AUAUAUUUAAGCUGAAUAUUGAAAAAAUAAAAAAAUUUAAAAAAAUCACAACAUUAAAAACAGAUAUUAUGAAAGGCAAAAACAAUAAGUUUAAAAAAUAAAAAUAAAAUAAAAAAUAGAUUUAUUCAAAAAAAGAUGAAAGAGAUGAGAGAAUUUUUAAAAAUUUCAAUCUUUAAAUAAAUAUAAACUCUUACAUUUUAAAUUAAUUAUUAACGAGCCCAAGUUUUGUGCUCUUUUUCUCUGUUGUGU
rnacentral:lncRNA from 1 species